rnacentral:lncRNA from 1 species
GCUUCUCAUUUUCUUGCUCUUUAUCAAAUGUGUUACUCCACUUUCUGUCCUCUUUAUGUUGUUUCCUGUUUUAUUUUGCAAUGGAACGUAACUACAAAGUUAAGGAAAGAGAAGGUUUUAGUAGUUUAAAGCAAACGCCGGAAAAGAUAGUAAUAAGCGAAUUUAAGGAUAUAAAAUUAAACUGAAUUUAACUGGAUCCAUUUCGAUUCAAUUAUCAUUGUUUAUUAUUUAUAAACUAAAAACAUGAUUAACCAAAAUAGAUCGAAUCAACUUAAUAUUUUUUUAAUAAUUAAGUAAACAAGCUUUCUUAAAAGUUUAAACUUUUAAAACAGAUUAGAAAAUCAACAUGUGUUUCAAAGAAGUAUUCAUCUCUAAAUUUAGGAAACUUUACUUUUUGGAAUUCUCUAGAUUUGUGUUGAAGGAGAGCUACUUUGAUACUAUAAUUAUAUAAUCUUGUUUUGAAGAAAAGGUCAAAUUCUAGUCUUGUGAGUCAAAUUUGAUAAAAGAAUUGUUGUUUGGGUUGUUAAUUUGCUCCAAGGACCCUUACAGCAAAAUCCAGUUUCAGUUUGCUCCUAAAUGUUUUCCUUUUAACAUACUUACUAACUAAUAUUUAUAUAUUUUAAAUAUACAACAUGUCACACCUCCUUUUUACACACCUACCCCGGAGGAUAAUGUAUAAGAGAGUUUUUCCAUUUAAAGUGACAUUAUUCUGAGCGGGAUUAUUUAUUUAUUUAGAGUCGCCACUUGGGAAAUGUUUGACUUUUGGUGUCCCAAGUCACCGGUUUAUCUUGAAUCCCGAACCGAGGAAAAUUGUCGACUUCCAAUUGGAGUCUGUGAACCAGAAAUUCUAAGCAAGGAAUUCUGUUGACCCGAGGGAAGGUGUUAGGCACCCCCGGAUCCCGUGGUUCUAGCACGAUCGCUUAAAUUGUUGUAAAUGGUUAAGAGUCCGAUUUUAAUACAUGCCAACUUUAUGUGCUUUUAUUAACUUUAAACCGCAGUUAUCACUAUUUUUUAAAAGAAUUGCAACGUCGUGAAAACGCGUCUCGAACCACGUCACAUCAAUGCACCCGUGGUUAUUGACACAUUUCGACAUCCGUUGAGAUUUGGAUUUGGGUCACAUAAAUGUGCACCCGAGUUUAGGAAUGUAAUUUGAUUAAAAUCGCGCUUAAAGAGUCUAACGCGUUAUUGUCUUUGGGGAAGGCCGUGAAAUUCACUAAACGGCCUAUCCCGAAUUCUAUUUAUCUAUUAUAACCAAUUACCGAGGGCCCCGCAAUUUAUUUAUUUUGUUCGGCGAGGCUCGUCUCAUGGCUUAUUUAAAGGUACACUCUAAAGUAAAUUAUGAUUUUUCUAAAUUAUUUGUCUCUAAUAAAAUAAAAAUCCUAAUUAAUCAUUAUUAUUUAGGAGUUACUUCAUUUCCAAAUAAGGAUUAAAAUUAAGUCCAUGACUUCAUUGAAGCUUCAACAUUUGGGCUUUAAUACCGGCCCUAUGCCAUUUUGCUUGUGGUUGCGUAGAGAGAAAAUAAACCCAGACGUGGGCCAUGAACGGAAACAUGCCCAAAUUUAUUGUAUUGGUGGCUUGCCCAGUUCAGCUUAUUACAUGAGCAACUACUUUGUUUUUGUUUGUUUCAUUUCAAUUAACCAAUUGAAUCUACCUCAUGCAUUUUUAAUAGUGACAAUGUGAAGCAGAAUCCAUUGACAGAAACCAGAUAUACUNNNNNNNNNNNNNNNNNNNNNNNNNAAAAAAGUUCUAACUAAACCUGUUUAUAGCUAAUUUCAUGAAGAUCAUAAGGCGACACUGAAUCCAAACCGGCUAAGAGAUUCACAUGCUCAUUUGUGACUUGUUUUUAGCUAAUGCUCAAAUUAGCACAUAAGUAUUUAUUCAUAUUUAUAGUAGAGCAUACUUCUAAAUUGCUUGCAAACUCAACCACAUUCUGAUUCCAUAUGCUUACCCAGUAUUACCAUGAAAACCAAACAUUAGACCACGCUGUGUCCACGAAUAACAAACAUCAAUUAACAGCCCUAAGAGAUCUGAUUUGAGUACAAAUUUCAACAGUCCAUAGCAGGAGAAGUAAUCUUAAUCAGACAGUCCUAAUUGAUAUACACAUUAUAAAAUUUCACAUGAACAUAAAUAUGAAACUGUAUGCAAACUGAAACAAAUAAACAACUGGCACUUCAAUUUCUUUUCAAUUGGCUAUAUUAAGCUUGAGAUCACAAACGUCAUUCAUAGUCGAGCCAAGUACCUGGGAAUUAGAAUGCAACAGGAAGAGGAGAAGUUAGCAGCAGCAGCAACGAUUGAGAAUGUCCAGCAACAACACAACAAUUUUAACCCAGAAAGCAGACCAGUAGUCCAAAUAUCAAAUAGGACAGAGGGAUUGACCAAAACAGCACCACAACAAACCAGUAAACUCAAAAGGCAUCCAGAAAUACUCAGCAAACACCAAACUCAAACAAAACCCACUUUACUUAAACCAGAACUGCUCAAUACUAAACCAGCACGAUCCAGAAACUCCAAUAAUCAAACGAGAAGAAAAUCGAACAAAACUAAAUCAAAAACCAAUGUAACAAUGCAUUUUUUUGCAAUUUUCUCAUAUUUUCUGUUUUUGUUUUUGUUUCUUUUUUGAGAUUUUGGAAAUUUGAAAUCUAAAAGAGAGUUUGAACUAUUAGAAAUCAGAUCUAGGUUGAAAUUUGAAUUCUGCUUAGACUUGUAGAGAGGGCCCUUUUGGGGGAAAUUUUUGAGCUUGCAAACUUUUGGGAAUUUUCA